GACGAACGCUGGCGGCGUGCUUAACACAUGCAAGUCGAACGGAAAGGCCCUGCUUUCGUGGUGUGCUCGAGUGCCGAACGCGUGAGUAACACGUGAGUAACCUGCCCUUCACUUUGGGAUAACUUCAGGAAACUGAGGCUAAUCCCGGAUAGGAGCUCCCGCUGCAUUGUGGGCGUUGGAUAUUCUCGGCGGUUGGGGAUGGACUGGCGGCUUAUCAGCUAGUUGGUAGGGUAGUGACUUACCCAGGCUAUGACGGGUAGCCGACCUGAGAGGGUGAUCGGCCACAUGGGAACUGAGACACGGUCCAGACUCCUACGGGAGGCAGCAGUAGGGAAUGUUCCGCAAUGGGCGAAAGCCUGACGCAGCGACGCCGCGUGAGUGACGAAGGUCUUCGGAUCGUAAAGCUCUGUUAUUGGGGAAGAACAGCAGUGGCAUGAACCAUGGACGUCGUGACGGUACCUAAUCAAAAAGCACCGGCUAACUACGUG
rnacentral:rRNA from 1 species